AUGUCGCAAUUUUGGUGGGGUGACGAGGACAAUCAGAAAAGGAUGCACUGGAUGGCAUGGUGGAAGAUGUGUGUUCCAAAAGGUCUAGGAGGAAUGGGAUUCCGAGAUAUACACUCUUUCAAUUUGGCUUUGUUAGCUAAACAAGCUUGGUGUCUGCUGGAUAAUCCGGAUUCACUAUGUGCUACAAUAUUAAGAGCCAAGUAUUUUCCAAAGGGCGACUUAAUGAACACAAGCUUAAAAAAGGGUUCCUCCUUCACAUGGCAAAGCAUUAUGGCGGGAGUGGAAUCUCUUAGAAAUGGUUAUAUAUGGAGAGUUGGAAAUGGACAAAAUGUUGACAUGUGGAGAUAUGCAUGGAUCCCGAAUUGUGCGAAUAGGAGAAUUGUUACUCAUAGACAAGGGAAUCUAUUGACGAGAGUUUCUUACCUUAUUGAUCCAGUCAUGAAUGGUUGGGAUGAAGAUUUGGUGAGGCAAACAUUGUGGCCAAUUGAUGCUCGAAGAGUCCUAGCGAUCCCUCUUCCUAUGCAUAAUAUGCCGGAUUUCAUUGAUUGGAGCUAUACUAAAAACGGGUUGUUUACUGUACGAUCAGCUCAUUUGGAGGAAUGGAAGAAACAAUACCGAAGGAAAUUGGAAUACACUAUUGGUAUGGGUAGAAGCAAGAACAAUCCUAUUUGGAGUAAGAUUUGGAGAUUAGCUUGUCCAACGAAGGUAAAAAUCUUUAUCUGGAAUACACUUCACAGGACCCUACUAUGUCAUGUCAUGUUUGCCCAGCUUGUUUGA
rnacentral:rRNA from 1 species